CAGUGUUACAUCUUUUUUAGAAUUUGUCUAGCAGCUUUUCCAGUUUUCACUGGGGGAAAAA
ensembl:snRNA U7 U7 small nuclear RNA